rnacentral:tRNA from 1 species
GAGGCUUUAGCUUAAUUAAAGCAUCUGAGUUGCAAUCAGAAGAUGCGGGUUAGUGACCUGUGAGUCUUA